CCCUUUGUUAAAUUUACUUCUCCUUUAGUAUUUUGAGAGCUUAGAGGUGAUUCAUGUUAUAUUACUUGGAGGAAGGCUAGCUUGCAUUCUUGCUUGUUUUUGUCCCCCUGUUAUGAAAGGAAAUUAGAAUAUUGUGGAAAAUAGGGAAAAUAUUUAAAAAUAAAAGGAAGAAAAAAAGCACAGAGCAAGUAAAAUAAGCAAGUAACUAACCAUAUCUUCUCCUGUCUCUACACAAAAGCUAUUAAUAUUUUGGUGGACUUCUGAAGUUACAGUCUGGAUUCCUAAUUUAUUCAGAAUUUUUUUGGUGUUUUUUCCAAAGCAAAUAAUUACUCUUCAUUGGAUCUGGAGUUAAAAACAAACAACAAACAAAAACAAAGAUCAAACAGAAACUCUCAGUGAAUCUCCUUCAAGAAAGAAAUUCUUCAUUUUGUCACUGAGGAAGUUCUGUCAGCCAGCCAGCUGAGCUAUCCACACUAAUGGAAAUGUAACUGGAACCGACUAAUGAGAAAAUCAAGGACCAUCAGGCAAGAUUGUGCAGUAGAAAUUUUUGCUUCCAAAUGAAGACACCAACAUUUAGAAAUUUCUACUUUCUAAGUUUUUUGCAUAAUUGUCCUUAAAUGAGGUGAGAGUGAAGAGAUUAGAGCCAUCUCUGGAGAACAUCUUUACCCCAUUCCCCUGGAAGCUAACCUCAGGAGCACUAACUUGACCCUAUCUGUUUUGAGGACUCAUUAUGAACAAAGAAGUCUCCCAGGUGUGAAGUUUUUCAACAUGAGUGGCCUCGGGGACAGUUCAUCCGACCCUGCUAACCCAGACUCACAUAAGAGAAAAGGAUCUCCAUGUGACACACUGGCAUCAAGCACUGAAAAGAGGCGCAGGGAGCAAGAAAAUAAAUACUUAGAAGAGCUAGCUGAGUUAUUGUCUGCAAACAUCAGUGACAUUGACAGCUUGAGUGUAAAACCAGACAAAUGCAAGAUUUUGAAGAAGACAGUCGAUCAAAUACAGCUAAUGAAAAGAAUGGAACAAGAGAAAUCAACAGCUGAUGACGAAGUACAGAAGUCGGACAUCUCAUCGAGCAGUCAAGGAGUGAUAGAAAAGGAGUCCUUGGGGCCUCUUCUUUUGGAGGCUUUGGAUGGAUUUUUCUUUGUUGUGAACUGUGAAGGGAGAAUUGUAUUUGUGUCAGAGAAUGUGACCAGCUACUUGGGUUACAAUCAGGAAGAAUUAAUGAAUACCAGUGUCUACAGCAUACUGCAUGUGGGGGAUCAUGCUGAAUUUGUGAAGAAUCUGCUACCAAAAUCACUAGUAAAUGGAGUUCCUUGGCCUCAAGAGGCAACACGACGAAAUAGCCAUACCUUUAACUGCAGGAUGCUAAUUCACCCGCCAGAUGAGCCAGGCACUGAGAACCCAGAAGCUUGCCAGCGGUAUGAAGUAAUGCAGUGUUUCACUGUGUCACAGCCAAAAUCAAUUCAAGAAGAUGGAGAAGAUUUCCAGUCAUGUUUGAUUUGUAUUGCACGGAGAUUACCUCGGCCUCCAGCUAUUACGGGUGUAGAAUCCUUUAUGACCAAGCAAGAUACUACAGGUAAAAUCAUCUCUAUUGAUACGAGUUCCCUGAGAGCUGCUGGCAGAACUGGCUGGGAAGAUUUAGUGAGAAAAUGCAUUUAUGCUUUUUUCCAACCUCAGGGCAGAGAGGCAUCUUAUGCCAGACAACUAUUUCAAGAAGUGAUGACUCGUGGCACUGCCUCCAGCCCAUCCUAUAGAUUCAUAUUGAAUGAUGGGACAAUGCUUAGCGCCCACACCAAGUGUAAAUUUUGCUGCCCUCAAAGUCCAGACAUGCAACCUUUCAUCAUGGGAAUUCAUAUCAUCGACAGGGAACACAGUGGUCUUUCUCCUCAAGAUGACACUAAUUCUGGAAUGUCAAUUCCCCGAGUAAACCCCUCCAUCAAUCCUACUAUCUCUCCAGCUCAUGGGCUGGCCCGUUCAUCCUCAUUGCCACCAUCCAACAGCAACAUGGUAUCCACCAGAGUAAACCGCCAACAGAGCUCAGACCUUCAUAGCAGCAGUCACAGUAAUUCUAGCAACAGCCAAGGGAGUUUCGGAUGCUCACCUGGAAGUCAGAUUGUAGCCGGUGUUGCCUUAAACCAGGGUCAGGCCAGUUCCCAGAGCACUAAUCCCUCUUUAAACCUCAGUAAUUCUCCUAUGGAAGGUACAGGAGUGUCCCUCGCACAGUUCAUGUCUCCAAGGAGGCAAGUUAGUUCUGGACUGGCAACAAGGCCCAGGAUGCCUAACAAUUCCUUUCCCCCUAAUAUCCCAACAUUAAGCUCCCCUGGUGGCAUGACAAGUACUGCCUGUAACAAUAGUAGCCGAUCUUAUUCCAGCAUCCCAGGAACAUCUUUACAGAGUAUGAGUGAAGGACCCAAUAACUCUGUUGGCUUCUCUGCCAGUUCGCCAGUCCUCAGACAGAUAAGCUCACAGAAUUCACCUAGCAGAUUAAAUAUGCAGCCAGCAAAAGCUGAGUCCAAAGAUAACAAAGAGAUUGCGUCCAUUUUAAAUGAAAUGAUUCAGCCUGACAACAGCUCUAGUGAUGGCAAACCUCUGGAUUCUGGGCUUCUGCAUAACAAUGACAGACUGUCAGAUGGAGACAACAAAUACUCUCAGACCAGUCACAAACUAGUGCAGCUUUUGACAACAACUGCGGAGCAGCAGUUACGGCACGCUGAGAUAGACACAAGUUGCAAAGAGGUACUGUCUUGCACUGGCACUUCCAGCUCUGCCUCUGCUAACUCUUCAGGCGGCUCUUGCCCCUCCUCUCACAGCUCACUGACAGAAAGGCACAAAAUUCUACACCGGCUCCUGCAGGAGGGGAGCCCCUCGGAUCUCACCACCUUGUCCGUCGAGCCUGAUAAAAAGGACAGUGCAUCUGCUUCUGUGUCAGUGACUGGACAGGCACAAGGGAACUCCAUAAAACUAGAAAUGGAUGCGUCAAAGAAAAAAGAAUCAAAAGACCAUCAACUCCUACGCUACCUUUUAGACAAAGAUGAGAAAGAUUUAAGAUCAACUCCAAACCUGAGCCUGGAUGAUGUAAAGGUGAAAGUGGAAAAGAAAGAACAGAUGGACCCUUGUAACACAAACCCGACCCCAAUGACCAAACCUGCCCCUGAGGAAAUCAAACUGGAGUCCCAGAACCAGUUUACAGCUGACCUUGACCAGUUUGAUCAGUUAUUACCCACGUUGGAGAAGGCAGCCCCAUUGCCAGGCUUAUGUGAGGCAGAGAGGAUGGAUGGUGCGGUCAGCAGUGUCACCAUCAAAUCCGAGAUCCUGCCCGCUUCACUUCCGGCCACCACUGCCAGACCCACUUCCAGGCUGAACCGAUUACCUGAGCUGGAAUUGGAAGCAAUUGAUAACCAAUUUGGACAACCAGGAACAGGUGAUCAGAUUCCAUGGACAAAUACUACAGUGACAGCUGUGAAUCAGAACAAACCAGAAGACCAGUGUAUUAGUUCACAAUUAGAUGAGCUUCUCUGUCCACCAACAACAGUAGAAGGAAGAAAUGAUGAGAAAGCUCUGCUUGAACAGCUGGUCUCUUUCCUCAGUGGCAAAGAUGAAACUGAGUUGGCUGAAUUAGAUAGAGCUCUGGGAAUUGACAAACUUGUUCAGGGAGGUGGAUUAGAUGUAUUAUCAGAGAGGUUUCCACCACAACAAGCAACACCACCUUUAAUGAUGGAAGAAAGACCCAACCUUUAUUCCCAGCCUUAUUCUUCUCCUUCACCUACUGCCAGUCUCACUAGCCCUUUCCAAGGCAUGGUCAGGCAGAAACCUUCAUUGGGGUCCAUGCCUGUUCAAGUAACACCUCCCCGAGGUGCUUUCUCACCUGGCAUGGGCAUGCAGCCCAGGCAAACUCUAAACAGACCUCCAGCUGCACCCAAUCAACUUCGACUUCAACUUCAACAGCGAUUGCAGGGGCAACAGCAGUUGAUACACCAAAAUCGGCAAGCUAUUUUGAACCAGUUUGCAGCAAAUGCUCCAGUUGGCAUCAAUAUGAGAUCAGGCAUGCAGCAGCAAAUUACACCUCAGCCACCCCUGAAUGCCCAAAUGUUGGCUCAGCGCCAGCGGGAGUUGUACAGCCAGCAGCACCGACAGAGGCAGCUAAUACAGCAGCAAAGAGCCAUGCUCAUGAGGCAACAAAGCUUUGGGAACAACCUCCCUCCCUCAUCUGGACUGCCAGUUCAAAUGGGGAACCCCCGUCUUCCUCAGGGUGCUCCGCAGCAAUUCCCCUACCCACCAAACUAUGGUACAAAUCCAGGAACCCCACCCGCUUCUACCAGCCCGUUUUCACAACUGGCAGUAAAUCCUGAGGCAGCCUUGGCCAACCGCAGCAGCAUGGUGAACAGAGGCAUGGCCGGGAACAUGGGAGGACAGUUUGGCACUGGAGUCAAUCCUCAGAUGCAGCAGAAUGUCUUCCAGUAUCCAGGAUCAGGAAUGGUUCCCCAAGGUGAGGCCAGCUUUGCUCCAUCUCUGAGCCCUGGGAGCUCCAUGGUGCCGAUGCCAAUCCCUCCUCCUCAGAGCUCUCUCCUCCAGCAAACUCCACCUGCUUCCGGGUACCAGUCACCAGACAUGAAGGCCUGGCAGCAAGGAGCAAUGGGAAACAACAAUGUAUUCAGUCAAGCCGUCCAGAACCAGCCCGCGCCCGCACAGCCAGGAGUGUACAACAACAUGAGCAUCACUGUGUCCAUGGCGGGUGGAAACACCAGUGUUCAGAACAUGAACCCAAUGAUGGGCCAGAUGCAGAUGAGCUCUUUGCAGAUGCCAGGAAUGAACACUGUGUGCCCUGAGCAGAUCAGUGAUUCGGCACUGAGACACACAGGCCUCUACUGCAACCAGCUUUCAUCGACUGACCUUCUCAAAACAGAAGCAGAUGGAACCCAGCAGGUGCAACAGGUUCAGGUGUUUGCUGACGUCCAGUGUACAGUGAAUCUGGUAGGCGGGGACCCUUACCUGAACCAGCCUGGUCCACUGGGAACUCAAAAACCCACGGCAGGACCACAGACCCCCCAGGCCCAGCAGAAGAGCCUCCUUCAGCAGCUACUGACUGAAUAACCACUUUUAAAGGAAUGUGAAAUUUAAAUAAUAGACAUACAGAGAUAUACAAAUAUAUUAUAUAUUUUUCUGAGAUUUUUGAUAUCUCAAUCUGCAGCCAUUCUUCAGGUCGUAGCAUUUGGAGCAAAAAAAAAAAAAAGGAGUUCACUUUUGUUGGGAGAUUGAGAGAUGUUUUUGUUUCUUUGUAAAGGCCUUGGAUAUUGAAAAAUAACAAGGCAGAACAGUUGGACAAUCUAUUUCUUGAGCCAAAUUUAAUUAUUCUUAUUUUUGUAAUCAGUCAUUGGCUUCUUAUCUGGAUGAAGGCCUUUGGAGGAGAACCAAAAGGACAAGUUCCGCAGGGAAGACAGAGCCCCGCCUCCGCAGGCUCAGCUCCGACUCUGCCCAGGAAGAAGGGCCUGUGCCCUCACCAAAGGCUGUCAUGUGUCUCUAACCAACAGCCCUUCCCGACCCCAGGCAGCUUGUGUGUACAAUCAGCUUCUUCUAGCAACUCUGUAUCUGUUGGCUUCAAGAGAAUAUUUUGCCUCCACAUGUGUACCCCUUUUUUAAAGAUGGAUUUAAACCAAGAUGCCUCCAGGAACGAGGACGAAAUGAGUGUAUUCAGAGGAAUCCAAAAAAUACAGUUUGGGGAAAAUGCAAUAAUUUUUGAUGAGAUGGGUGAAGGACAAGAAGCGAGUUCUGUCAAUUAUUGUAGAUACAAUUUUCUGAUUAAAUCUGGGAAAAGGCAGCCUGUUCUUUCUGCUUUUAUUGUAUUAACAGCUGACGUAGCUAAAGUUAUUUAAAAUAAAAUUAAGUUUAUGAUCUAAGUAGCUUAUUUUUCCCUUUAAAUCUCACUGUAAAUAUCUUUGAUUUCUUGUAGAAAUUUAUUUCCUUCUGUUUAAUUUUAUGGCUUUAUUAUCAUACUCUUGAUUUUUCUAUAUUUGUGUGAAAUAUAACAUUGAUUGAAUUGCAGUUACAUCUGGCUAGUAAUAUUUCAUUAUUUUAAUAACUGUGAUACCAUGUAUGGAUUUACUUCGGGGUUCAAAUCAAAAUGCCAACUGCCGGAAAGAGCCGUUCCAGAUGAGCUAGAGCUCGCACUGCCCUAGUGUCUCACUGGGAUCAUCUGCCUUGAGAGCAGUGUCAGGAAUUGUCACCAGAAGUGCACAGGCUACUUGUACAGAGAAAUUAGUACUCAAAGGAAAUCUUACUUUUUUUAGAUUGACUUUGGGAAUUUUAAUUUUCAUCAGUGCAAAUAUGAAUUUAUUCUGCUCUGAGGCUAACUGGUACCAUGUUUUCCCUUUGUGUCUUGUCACUCUGCCACAUCUUGUCUCAUCCUGGCCUCUGAGUCAAGGACCCAGUGAACUGACUUUCUAGUUCUAGAAGUUGUGCUGCAAGGCCAGGAAAGCUUGAGAAAGGUAUUGUGGAAGAAGCAAAGGUAGACCCCCAUCACUCACCUUUACCUGCACUCCUGGGCCUGUGAAUGAUGACAGCACCUGACAUUGCGCACCAGCUACCUCUGCUUCCAUGGCAGAGAAAAGGCCAUAAGAACUCACAGUGGAAGAGGAGCUUGGACUCAGACAUCAAGGAAGAAGCCAUUUUCCCAGGUCCUUCUCUCUGCGUCUCACCAACCCUAGUUACAAAUAACUCCAUUGGACAGCAUCUAUUCAAAAAGUAUAAUACCGAAUCAAAAGAUUGGCGGAAGGGCUCACAUGGGUAGCAACUAUGAAAGAGAAAUAGGACACUCAGUUACAAACAUUAUCUCUUUUCCUUUUUCAGAAAAAUGCAUCCCCGAUGUCAUUCAUUCCCAGCUUAAAAGCCCAGCCAUAGUACUCUAGUCCCUACCAAACUGCUCUAGGAUAUCAUCUCUGUUCUGUUUGUGAUACUUAGACUUGCAGACUUCAGGAAGUUCACCUUUAACUUGAGCAUUCCAGAUGAAGUUUCCUGACUCAGUACUUUCGCAUAAGGACUAGAAAAAAAGUGGGAAGAAGUGAAACCUACAUCCUGCAGGAAUUGCCAAAGCCCAAAAUGACUAAUGGGUAAUUGAAGGAUAAUAAGAGAAAGAAUCCCUGAAGCCAGAGAUCCUGGAAGUCACCCUAAUGCGAACCAGCUCAGUGAAAUUUGAGAAGGUCAAAGUGAAGUCCUGACAGUGGGCCUAGAGGAAAUUCUGACUUUGACCAUUUGUCUGAUGAUUAAACACGCUGGUCCGGCUGUUUGUUACCCAGGCGAUCUGGUCCCCCCAGCACUUCAGAGUCACACGAUACCGUAUCUCUCGCUGCUAUUGGCUUUUAUAUACUAACAUUUAUUAUGCAGAUGUUGAAUCUUACUUGAGGAGACUUUCAAUCUGACAGGCCCUGUUUCUUAUUUGUGUGUGUUUAAGGCAGCUUAAAUCCACUAAUACUUGGUUCGGUGUGUGUGGGUAAGGAGGGUAAGCAAGUGUGAUACCAACCAGAGGGCAGGGGUGGAUGUAUAUCCUAUACAUGUUCCUACACACAGAUACACACGGAUUUGGUAGCUGUUGUCUGAAAUAAUAUUUAUGGGGAACAGACCCUUUGUUUCCCAAAGUUGGGAUAAGGUAAAAAUACUUCUCUGCAAUGAGGCUAAACAUUGAUUUAAAUUUAUCCUAAAGUAGUUGUGGGAAGGCCAUUUAAAACAAAUAGAAACAAUUGAGGGAACAGUGAGGUUGACACUGAGAAAUUUCAUCUUUAUGGUUUUGCCUAAGAUAGGUUCCAUACCUAGAAACUGUCUUCUGGAUCAUGACAAUCAAAGAAAAAGAAAGGACACCUGUCUGCUCACACAGAUGUUGGACUGAUUUCCUGGCUGACUAACUGGUCUUCCCAGAAGGCAGCUCCACUUGAAUAAAGUGAUGGAUUCA